rnacentral:rRNA from 1 species
CUCCUACGGGAGGCAGCAGUAGGGAAUCUUCCGCAAUGGGCGAAAGCCUGACGGAGCAACGCCGCGUGAGUGAUGAAGGUCUUCGGAUCGUAAAACUCUGUUAUUAGGGAAGAACAAAUGUGUAAGUAACUAUGCACGUCUUGACGGUACCUAAUCAGAAAGCCACGGCUAACUACGUGCCAGCAGCCGCGGUAAUACGUA